GAUGAACGCUGGCGGCGUGCCUAAUACAUGCAAGUCGAGCGAACGGACGAGAAGCUUGCUUCUCUGAUGUUAGCGGCAGACGGGUGAGUAACACGUGGAUAACCUACCUAUAAGACUGGGAUAACUUCGGGAAACCGUAGCUAGUACCGGAUAAUAUUUUGAACCGCAUGGUUCAAAAGUGAAAGACGGUCUUGCUGUCACUUAUAGAUGGAUCCGCGCUGCAUUAGCUAGUUGGUAAGGUAACGGCUUACCAAGGCAACGAUGCAUAGCCGACCUGAGAGGGUGAUCGGCCACACUGGAACUGAGACACGGUCCAGACUCCUACGGGAGGCAGCAGUAGGGAAUCUUCCGCAAUGGGCGAAAGCCUGACGGAGCAACGCCGCGUGAGUGAUGAAGGUCUUCGGAUCGUAAAACUCUGUUAUUAGGGAAGAACAUAUGUGUAAGUAACUGUGCACAUCUUGACGGUACCUAAUCAGAAAGCCACGGCUAACUACGUG
rnacentral:rRNA from 1 species